AAGCAAAGAUAGCAAUAGCUGCUGGUUGCCCAAAUCUCCAGCUGUAUGCACAUGGCCACAUAAGGCAGUCAAUCUGGUCAAUUGAAAAGAUAAGGAGAGCAACGAAGGAAACAAAUCCCAGGCUGCUCGAUCCCCGAUUCUCAUGAGAUAGAACCAGACGGAGAGCACAAGGCCGGCCAACGCCACCUCCACGCACGCCGCCGCAGCAACGUUCACCGGCGGCGAGAGGCGCUCCCGCCGCGCUCGUCCUCGUCCAAGGAUCCUCUAGGGAGUAGGGUGCCCGGCGCGACGUCGUUGCAGGCGCCGUUCGCGAGUCCGAGGGCGACCGGGCUCCAUGUCCCAGCGCGAGCGGCGCGGCUGCUCGACGGGGAGCUUGAUGCCGAGAAGACGAAGGGCAUAAGGCGGCGGCGAGGCGAAGGCAUGGUGGGAGUCGGGGAUGGCAGGCGCGGAGGCGCGGUGGCGUCAUCAGCCGUGGCACUCGAGAAGCUGCGGACGACGGAGCCGUAGACAAAGGUGGAGGCCCCUGUCGGUGUGGAGAUGUAGGUGAGGGCGUCGCCGUCCACCUCAACAACCAUAGGGGUCGGAGACGGCAGUGGAGCAGCCUCGGCUUCGUCGAGCACGCCCUCCAGUGAAGUGAAGUGGGCGCCGCCACUCCUGGGUCGAUGACGACGGCCGCAAGCGCGGGACGGUGACAUGGACCCCAGCCGUGGUGCAGGCACCAUUCCACGGGCGGCGGCGGAGCCGUGAGUGCCAGGGCGACAUCCUCGAGCAUUGGCGCGGCCGAACCAGCAAAGAGCCGGUCGGGCACCGCCGGUUCCAGAGGCCGCAUUAGCCAGGGCCAAAAGUACCAAUUCCUGAUGGUGAUUAGUAUAUGCAUGACUAAAUCGGAAAGAGGCACCUUGUUAUUGUAGCAAUGAGAUCAAGUGAGCGCACGAGUGUCGUCGUUGCUGCCAUUGUCUGAUGCCUCGGCGCCAUGGAUCCCGACGCCCAUAGCGAGGAGCAAGCAGAGGGGAACGACAAUCCUUCGGUGGUUCUCUUUGCGUAACCGCCGUGAAUGGCCUUCUUCUCUCUAUCGGUAGAGACUAUCCACUGAUACCGUGUUUCGAGUAGAACGAGAGACAAGGCAAAAUGAUUCAAGUGUCCUUUAUUCAUCAUGGAUGUACACUUAUAUACAAGGAGAACGGAUGCGUCCAUGGGAUGCAACGGUUCGCUGAGGCACCUCCUCGGGAGGCAACUGCUGAUAUGGGAAGCGGGUUAUUCAAGGUUAUUAUUUUCAACACUUAGGAUGUGGUGGUGUAUUAAGCCUAUGUAUUUCUUCAAUAGAAGAUAAAUUUUUAACAUCCUUAGUUUUAAUACCUUUUUUCUUCAUAGAUUUCUUUGCCUUUUGCAUAUCUUCAGGAUUGAUAUAUAAUAUAUUCCUCUUUUUCGGAGUGGUUUAGGCGGUGGUUCA